rnacentral:rRNA from 1 species
CAGUCGCCGCGGUAAAACGAAGGGUGCAAGCGUUACUCGGAAUUACUGGGCGUAAAGCGUGCGUAGGUGGUGGUUUAAGUCCGUUGUGAAAGCCCUGGGCUCAACCUGGGAAUUGCAGUGGAUACUGGGUCACUAGAGUGUGGUAGAGGAUAGUGGAAUUUCCGGUGUAGCGGUGAAAUGCGUAGAGAUCGGGAGGAACAUCAGUGGCGAAGGCGGCCAUCUGGGACAACACUGACGCUGAGGCACGAAAGCGUGGGGAGCAAACAGGAUUAGAUACCCGCGUAGUCCCUGUCUCUUAUAC